GGCCUCGUAGGUCAGCUGGUAGAGCGUGCGCUGUACAAAAUCGUAGGCGGCGUUCAUGCGUGGGUUCAAAUCUCACCGAGGCUA
rnacentral:tRNA from 1 species